CUGCAGCACCCCUCAUCCUGAGUGUCUGAUUCAAGGGGUCUGGGUUGGGGCCCAAGAACUGACAUUUCCAACAGCUUCCCAGGAUGCUGUUGGUCCAGGAGCCACACUCUGAGGACCACUGCUCUAAGUGCUGCUCUUCUGAAAAUCAUGUGUAAGCAAUUGCUUUAAAAAGAAAAAUGAAGAACCCUUCUGACAAGAAACAAAAGACCUGAAAAAGGAAUUUGAUUUCAUGAAUACAAACAUAAUCAUUUCCCUUUCAUGUUUGGUUGCAAUCAAAAGCUAUGGAGUUCAACCUCAGAAG
rnacentral:lncRNA from 10 species